CGUAAUCCCUCACUCCCACUGCAUACUCACGCUCUCCUAACCCUUAAUCCUCUUUCUACCUCUGGUCCACCACGAAGCUGCUUCUGGCUUUCCUCCACCGGGAAACCACUUCUCUACAAACCGCGUUUCGUUCACGCAAGAUGUGUUCUGCGAUUUGUUGGAUUUCAAGGUACAAAAGGUGACUACCACUUCUGCAAUACACGUUUCAAGGUGAUUUUUGUUGGAUGAAUUGGCGUUUCCGUUUCCGUGCUGUGUUUUUUACUGGAUCCACGAACUGAUUUUUUACAGGAUGAAAUUCAUUUCUCGGUUCAGUUAGAGGUUCAAAACGUCAACUGAUUUUCUACGGUGUUUUAAUCAUCUGCAACUUGCUUAUGGUUCUGAAAUUUUGCAAGAGUGCAACGCUAUUCCCAGCUAAGUUCUGAAAUCACGUCUACUGAUUUUACUGCUUUGAGAACGAAAUCAGUAUUAAAGUUUUAUAGCAGUUCAGGGAGAUGAUCAAGGAUUACUUCUGUUCCAAUUCCUGUAAGUUGCUUCUUACUCAUCAUCUUAACUCUAGGUAAUUUAUUGUUUGUUACGGUAUUUUAGGAAUUCCUUUUUAACUUUAGUCUGAAUUAAAUAUAGAUUUUUAAACCAUAUAUCAAUCUAGGUUUAAAAAACAGUGAGAAGUGGACUAAUUAGUAUUUCUUUAGUACUUGAAGUGCAGAGUAUAGUAAACACGAUGCAAGAAAAAAGAAAACAGAGAAGAAAAGAAGGACGAGGGAGAUAAAAAGAGAACGAAGAGGUGUGUUUUACGUUUUGAUGUAUCUGAUAACUCUUUUUGCAGCUUUCAUAUGUGUUUCGUUUGGACAGUGCAUGAACCUUGAAAGAAUACUCACAACAUUUAGGAUGUCAGGUCUGGUUGUUGUUAAGUACAUCAGACAACCUAUCAAACUUCUAAACUUAGAUUCAUUAACCUUGUCAGAACCAUCAUCUUUGAUUAGCUUCUCCUUUUGAUUCAUGGGAGUGUUCACAGUUUUGCAAUCUUCCAUCAGAAAUUUCUUGAGUAUUUCCUUUGCAUGUUUUCUUUGACUUAAGAAAACUUCAUCCUGAUUCUGUUUGAUCUCAAUGCCAAGAAAGUAUGACAUAAGACCAAGAUCUGUCAUUUCAAAGACCUUUUUCAUUUCCAGUUUGAACUGGUUGAUUUCUUCAACAUUGCUUCCUGUAACUAACAUGACAUCCACAUAAAGAGAAAUUACCAAAAUAUUUGUACCUUGAUGUUUGACAUACAAUGUGAGUUCAGAUUGGCUUUUAUGAAAGCCAAGGUGCACCAGAUGAUCAUCAACCUUGUUGUACCAGGCUCGUGGAGCUAGCUUUAAUCCAUAUAAAUCCUUUUUCAAAAAGUAGACUUUAUUUUCAUUGCCCUCAUUCACAAAGCCUUCAGGUUGUUCAACAAAAAUUUCUUCUUGCAAAUCUCCAUUUAAGAAUGCAGAUUUAACAUCCAAAUGGUAUACUUUCCAGCUCCUUUGAGCAGCAAGAGCAAGCAAUAAUAUUACAGUGUCAAGCCUGGCAACAGGUGCAAAUGUCUUUGAAUAAUCAACACCAAAAACUUGUGCAUAUCCUUUCACAACAAGUCUUGCUUUGAAUUUGUUGAUAGAACCAUCAGGACUUAGCUUGGUUCUGAAAACCCAUCUUACUCCAAUUAUUUUUCUGUUUAGUCGACCAACCAACUCCCAGGUUUUAUUUUUCUCAAUCAUAGAAAGCUCCUCCUACAUUGCAGCCAUCCAGUGUUGACUGUUUUUUGCAUCGUGAAAUCCUGCAGGCUCACAAACAGCUACAUUGCACCUUUGACAGAUGUCAGACAAUAGUCUUGUUCCUCUGACAGGUGCAUCAUCAACUGUAGCAUCAUCUUCAGAUUCUUCAGUCAUGCUCCCAAGGGUUGAACUGUUUGGAGCAUUUGGACUUUGAUUCACCUUAGUUGAACUUUCCCAAUCCCAUUGUUCAUUUUCAACAAAAUGAACAUCUCUGCUUACAAUCACACGACCAAUUUGUGGCUGAAAAAUUUUGUAAGCUUUGGAUACAGUGCUAUAUCCAACAAAGAUGCUUGCUUAUGCUUUUUUAUCAAGCUUAUCACGCUUGACCUGUGGAAUAUAAGUGAAGCAAAGACAACCAAAUAUUUUGAGAAAUUUUAAAGAAGGUUUGUAGCCAUACCAAGCUUCAUAUGGUGUCAGAUCUUUCAAGGCUUUUGUAGAAAUUCGAUUUUGUAGGAAUACAACAGUGUUUGUUGCCUCCCCCCAUAACCCUUUUGGAAGAUUCUUUUCAUGGAGCAUACACCUUGUCAUCUCCAUAAUGAAUCUGUUCUUCCUUUCACUGACACCAUUCUGUCGAGGAGUAUAUGGUGUUGUUAAUUGAUGUUGAAUUCCAGCUUCUUCACAAAAUUUGUUGAAAGCAUCAGAGGUGUAUUCCUUGCCAUUGUCAGACCUUAUAAUCUGAAUUGAGCAUCCACUUUCAUUUUCAACUCUGGUUUUGAAUUUCCAGAAUAUACUGGGAACCUCUAACUUUUGUUUCAACAUGAAAAUCCAACACAUUCUUGUUAGAUCAUCAAUAAAAAUUAUGUAGUAGAGGUUACCAUUUAAUGAAGGUGUUCUCUGAGGACCACACAAAUCAGUGUGCACCAGUUGCAGCUUUUUCGAGGCUCUCCAAGCUUGUUUAGGGAAAGGUUGUCUGUGUUGCUUCCCAAAAUUGCAGGCAUGACAAGGAGGAAUAUUAUCAUCAAUGUCUGCGAGUCCUUCAACUAGCUUCUUUGAUUGCAUCUGAAACAAUCCUUGAUGAUGAAAGUGCCCAAGUCUUUUGUGCCAAAUCUCAGUGGCACUAGCUCUGGACUUGAAGGCCAUUUGUUCUUUCUCCAUUGGAUUUAAAGCAAAGCUUUUUCCUUUCAUUUUGACAUUGAACAAGUCUUUGCCACUAGCAUCUCUAAUCAAGCACUGUUUAUUCUCAAACAACACUUUAUAGCCUUUAUCGAGUAGGUGGCCAACACUUAAGAGAUUUUGAUCAAUUUUAGGUACAAAUAAAACAUCUGAAACAAAUUUUGUACCUUCAUAGCUUGCUAUAGCUACUGUGCCUUUUUCCCUUGACUUCCAAGAGUUCACCAUUUCCAAUUCUCACUCUCUUAACUUCAGUGUUUUUUAAUUCUUCGAAAAGCUCCUUGUCAUAUGUCAUAUGAUUUGUGCACCCACUGUCAAUCAACCAGCUCUCACUUGAUUCUCUACUUGAGAAACAAGUGACCACGAACAAUUGAUCUUCUUCUUGACCAACAACUUGUGCAUCUACUUCUUGCACCUGACCUUUGACUUUGCAGAUCACAGCUUCAUGUCCAAGUUGAUUGCAUUUGGAGCAUUUUGCAUCGGGUCUUCUCCAACACUUGUAUGGUGGAUGACCUUUCUUCUCACAGUGGCGGCAAGGUGGGUAGGAUUUUUUGGAACCUUCUUCCUUUUUUAAGUUUUUCUUCUUUUUGUACCUGUUGUUGUCUUGAUGCUUGACAGGUAAAGCUCCUUCAAUCACCCCUUCUUGCCUCAUAGACCUUCUUUGCUCUUGUGCUUGUAAAGCAUUCAAGAGCUCUGUAAGAGAGAUUUUUGACAGGUCUUAGGUGUUCUCCAGAGUAGUAAUGGUGGCUUCAAACUUCCCGGGAACAGUGACCUGCAGCUUUUCAACAAUCCUAGAGUCAAUACACACAGAACCAAGUAAUCUCACCUUAUUGGCAAUGCUGAGAAGUCUGUCAGAGUACUCCUUCAUUGACUCAAACUCCUUCCUCUUCUGCAACUCGAAAUCCUGAAUCAAAUUCAGGACUUUCAUUCCACGAAUCCUCUCAUCUCCUGCAAAUUCACCCUUGAGGUAAUCCCAAAUUUCCUUUGUUGUUUUGAGGGACAUUAUUCGUGUGAAGAUCAUUUGAGAUAUAACUGCAAAUAGGCAAGCUUUUUCCUUUGAUUUUAUGGUUUUUUUCUCCUUCUAUGCUUUGAUUUGUGCAACAGUAGGAUUUGCUGGAAGUGGAGGGACUUCGUAAUCUUCUUCUACUGCUUCCCAAAGAUCCAAAGCCUUCAGAUAAGUCUCCAUACGAAUUGCCCACAUUUGAUAAUUGUCUCCAUCAAAGACUGGUGGUGCAACAGCUGAAAAACUUGAUUCUCCUUCCAUUUUGACCUCACAGAUCCCUUAAGAAGAGUGCUUUGAUACCAAUUUGUUAGUUUCAAAACAAAUAAUAUUUGAUUGAUCAAUUGAGAUGAUAUAUUAAAGUUGGAAAGUUGUGCAUUUGUACACAGAAUGAAUAAAGAUUGUUCUAAAAAACAGAAAAUAAAUAUGGUAACAAACCAAUAGUUAAAACAGAAUUAAUUAAUUUUCUAAAAAUCUGGAGACUUAUUCAAUAACAAAAAAAAGCUAACUUGUAGGAUGUUAAACACAUGAUCCUAACAAACAUUCUUAAAUAUCAACUUUUUUUUAAAAGAACUAUAGAAAAGGUUUCAUAAAACCAAUAAAAGAAGAAAGAGUUUGGUUACUGACUUACCACGUCAAAAACAGCCUUAAGUUAACU
rnacentral:lncRNA from 1 species